AGUGGAUAGUAUAGCAGGAAGACAGACAGUAUUAUUGCUUUAAUCGAUCAGCUCGAUAAUUCUAUUACCAUUUGCGUUAUUCAAAUGGUAUUUAAUUUUCCGCAACGUUACCUUUAUUUCCCGAUUUACAUUUCAUUCGUUCGGAAUUGUCUCGCUCCCCUCUCUCCCUCCACUUCCACCAACUAUCCCAUCCGUUCUUGGUGCUGGUACGAGUUCAUUCUUUCUUUUUUCUUUCACUUUUUUUCGGGGUCAUUUAAAAACUGCGGUCUUUCGCAUCUGCAUAUCGUUAACCUUUUUACGGUGUACUGUAAAAUGUUGCGGCCGCCGGUAUUUCGAAAAUUUUAUGGAUAACUAUGAUAAUACAACGUUUGAAAAUGGAAACAAGGAUGAGGAAUGAACAUGUUGGGUAAGUAAAAGCAAACUCUAUUAUUUAUCACAAUAUAUGCAUAGUUCCUUUCAGAAGUCUUAGGACAUCUUCUAUUUUCAAUAUAAUUUUGAAAUUUGAUACAAAGUGUGAAUUUUAAGUUGUUGAUACUUUGGUAGUAUAUAUUUUUUUAUUAUACAU
rnacentral:misc_RNA from 1 species